rnacentral:rRNA from 1 species
GAUGAACGCUAGCUGCGGGCUUAACACAUGCAAGUCGAACGGUAACACGCGAGCUUCUUGGGAUCCACGAGGGGCGCACGGGUGAGGAACACGUAGGCGUCCUGCCCCGCACUUCCACCUAAGCCUGAGAAACCGGGACUAAUACCAGAUACGACCGCACCGUGUGGAUGGGGUGGGAAUUUUUGCGGUGUGGGAUGGGCCCGCGGCCGAUCAGCUUGCUGGUGGGGGAAUGGCCUGCCAAGGCGGCGCCGGGUAGCCGGCCUGAGAGGGUGGACGGGGACAGUGGGACUGAGACACGGGCCAGAGUGGUACGGGAGGCAGCAGUGGGGAAUAUUGCACGAUGGGCGGAAGUCUGAUGCAGCGACGCCGCGUGGGGGAUGAUGAACUUCGUGUUGGAAACUACUUUCAGCAUCGCGGAAGGUUUUUUGACGGUAGAUGGAGAAGAAGCACCGGCUAACUACGUG